rnacentral:rRNA from 1 species
UGAAGAAGGCCCGAGGGUUGUAAAGCACUUUCAAUUGUGAGGAAGGUAGUGUAGUUAAUACCUGCAUUGCUUGACGUUAACUUUAGAAGAAGCACCGGCUAACUCUGUGCCAGCAGCCGCGGUAAUACAGAGGGUGCAAGCGUUAUUCGGAAUUACUGGGCGUAAAGCGCGCGUAGGCGGACUAUUAAGUCAGUUGUGAAAGCCCUGGGCUCAACCUAGGAACUGCAUCUGAUACUGGUAGUCUAGAGUUUAGGAGAGGGAAGUGGAAUUCCAGGUGUAGCAGUGAAAUGCGUAGAUAUCUGGAGGAACAUCAGUGGCGAAGGCGACUUCCUGGCCUAAAACUGACGCUGAGGUGCGAAAGCAUGGGUAGCGAACGGGAU